rnacentral:ncRNA from 1 species
CCAAAGGCCUGGUCCAUUACCUUAUUAUCAGCUAAUACAUAAUUUAUACAUGCAAGUAUCCGCAUCCCAGUGAGAACACCCAACCCCUCAAUCAGGACAAGGAGCCGGUAUCAGGCCCAGAGAAUUCUAGCCCACUACACCUAGCCCAAGCCACACCCUCAAGGGCAUUCAGCAGUAAUAAACCUUGUACAUAAGCGAAAGCUUGAAUCAGUUAUAGUAUAUCAGAGCCGGCAAAUUCGGUGCCAGCCGCCGCGGCUACACCGCGAAGCUCAAGUUGAUAAGAACGGCGUCAAACGUGUUUAAAGUUAACCCCCACUAGAGUUAAACACUUAGUCAUUUAGUAAAAUGCUGAUUAUUUGGAGAAUCAUAAACGAAAGUUACUCUAAAAAUAUAACUUGAAUCCACGACAGCUGAGAAACAAACUGGGAUUAGAUACCCCACUAUGCUCAGCCGUAAAAUAUUAUUUACAAUAAAACCGCCAAAGAAUUACGAGCGCAAGCUUAAAACUUAAAGGACUUGACGGUGUCCCAUCUACCUAGAGGAGCCUGUUCUAUAAUCGAUAACCCUCGCUAUACCUCACCCUUUCUAGCUUAUCAGUCUGUAUACUUCCGCCGUAAGCUUACCGUAUGAACGUAUUAGUAAGCUAAAUAGUUAAACUACCAAGACGUCAGGUCAAAGUGCAGCUUACAAAAGGGGAAGAAAUGGGCUACAAUUUCUAUUUAAGAACAUACGAAUUUAAACAAUUGAAAAUUGUUAUGAAGGCGGAUUUAGAAGUAAAGUGAAAAUAAAAUGUUUACUUUAAUUAUGCUCUGGGACGCGUACACACCGCCCGUCAUCCUCCUCAAUAUACUUCUAAAAAUAAAUAAUAAAUAAGGUAAGUAUAUGAUAUGAAGAGGCAAGUCGUAACACGGUAAGUAUACUGGAAAGUGUGCUUGGACAU